rnacentral:rRNA from 1 species
UACGAAAGGUGCAAGCGUUACUCGGAAUCACUGGGCGUAAAGCGCACGUAGGCGGACUCGUAGGUCAGUUGUGAAAUACCUGGGCUCAACCCGGGAACUGCAGCUGAAACCGCUUGUCUUGAAUACCUGAGAGGGUGGGGGAAUACCUGGUGGAGAAGUGAGAUUCGUAGAGAUCAGGUGGAACACCGGAGGCGAAGGCGCCUGCCUGGCAGUGUAUUGACGCUGAGGUGCGAAAGUGCGGGGAGCAAACAGG